rnacentral:rRNA from 1 species
CGGGGUAACGGCCCACCAAACCGACGAUCGGUAGCCGGACUGAGAGGUUGAACGGCCACAUUGGGACUGAGACACGGCCCAGACUCCUACGGGAGGCAGCAGUGGGGGAUAUUGCACAAUGGGGGAAACCCUGAUGCAGCGACGCCGCGUGAGGGAAGAAGGUUUUCGGAUUGUAAACCUCUGUCUUUAGUGACGAAGAUGACGGUAGCUAAAGAGGAAGCCACGGCUAACUAC